AAGGAUCAUUACAGAGUUCAUGCCCUUACGGGUAGAUCUCCCACCCUUUGAGUACUAUACUUUUGUUGCUUUGGCAGGCCGCUUCGGCUACCGGCUUCGGCUGGUGAGUGCCUGCCAGAGGACCCCAAAUUCUGAAUUAUAGUGUCGUCUGAGAACUAUAUAAUAGUUAAAACUUUCAACAACGGAUCUCUUGGUUCUG
rnacentral:misc_RNA from 1 species